rnacentral:tRNA from 1 species
CCUGUAGCUCAGUCGGAUAGAGCGUCGGCCUCCGAAGCCGAAGGUCGCAGGUUCGAGUCCUGCCGGGC